UCAAGUGGCUGCAGUCCUUUUCCUUCCUGACCCUCCAGUUGUGCCAUCUUUGGCCAGGAGGGAAAUGGACACUUAGAAACAGCCAUUCUCCUCCUAAGGCACUGGAAGGCACAGGCCAGAUGCGCUCCCCUGAUGAGGAAACUGAGACUCCCACCCUGCAUGAGGCCAAGCACAGGGGGAGUGGCAGGGUCUGGCUAGUGGAUUAGCAGUUCUCAAGGCAUUCGUGGUCUGCCGGACACCUGUCCCACCGGCUGCUCCCAGCAUGGGCGAGGAGGGCUUUCACAACUCUCAGCAUUCCUGAAUCUCAGAGGACUCAUCCUGUCUCACAGAAAACCCCAUCUUAACCCAUGAAGACCCACAGACCCCUGCCCUGUCCUUCAGCCUGGUCUGGAAGUUGAGUAGUCGAGACUGUGAGCUGACUGUGGGUGCAGCCUGGAAGUACCUGGAAGGUGGGAACUGCACCUGCUUUCUUUGACGUCACAGCCCCAAACCCGGCGGAGUCUAAAACACAAGAGAUGCUCGGCUAGUGCUGAUUACAUAGAAAUCUUGACCCAAGAGGCCUGUGCGAUAGCCUUCACUGGAGCUUUGGAAUAACGGACAGCCAGCCUACCUGUUCACAGAGGACGGCCGAAAUAAGCCGUGAGCUGUCUGUGUGGGGAGGAAGACUUGAGAUAUAGCUCAUCGCAGUGACAAACCUUCUUCCAAAGCCCCCAGACAGCCAGAAAACAGACCGCUCAAUGCAUGCAGCUCAGCCUGGAGCAGCGUCAAGGUGAUAGUGACAGCAAUGUAGCUUCUUCGGAGUCGUCCUGCGGCCUUCCCUGCUGUGAAGUCCUGAAUUCACUGAUCCCACUCCACGCCACCCUCAAAGGACAUGGGCCACUGCUCUGAAAAGGCAGCAGCAGCACAGCAGCAUGUCCGUGAUCAGAACCCCAGACAGCUGCUCCCCCCAUGACCCUCAACCUCACCAUAGAUGCACCAUUCUAUGGGGGUGGCUGGUGGUGGGGACAUUGGAGAGGUGAUUAAGUCUACAUGAAGCCAUCACGGUAUGCCCUAAUCCCAUCUGACUGAUGUCCUUAUGAAAAGAAGAAAAUCUGGACACGCCAGGAGGCAUCAGGGACGCAUGCUCAGAGGAAAGGCCAUGUGAGGACUCAGCGUGAAGGCGGCCUCUGCAAGCUGGGAGGAAAGGCCUUGUGAAAACCCAACCCUGCCCGCACCUUGUCUCCUCCAGACCUGGGAGAAAAUAUUGAUAGGUUCCUGUCAU